CGUGGUGGGCGCGCUGCUGCCCUGCUCACUGCCCCCGGACCGGGCCGCGGCCGAGCUGUGGCGCAGUCUGAGCCGGAACCAGCGUGUGAACGGGCAGGUGCUGGUGCAGCUGCUGUGGGCGCUGAAGGGCCGGGCGGGACCCCAGCAGGAGGCACUGGCAGCCACUCGCGCCC